GUCUAUAAGUAGAACCUCCAUUCUGACAUUAAAGUCAGUCAUGUCUCCAUCAAGAAUUCUGUCUCAACCGAGUAGUCUACAUCCGGUCACCAGCCUUUCCUCACAGAAGCUCACCACCGUUAUUCUCAAAAGCAAGAGAGUAUUAAUUUAACAGUCUAAAUUGAUUUUUCACUCGUUGUUAAGUUUUAAGAUAGUGUCAUAAACCUUAUUCGAACUAUUGUUUUUAUUUAAUUUAUUUAAUGUAUGUUAAAUUUACAUUUUAAUAUUAUUGACAUCCGGUUAUCAACGCCUAUCAGGCCCUAACACGUGAUAAACGAAGAAGCAAAAAGACGUGCACACUCUUGGCUCCAUCAUUUAUGUUUGAAAGGACCUAACUAUAAACAUCUAAAAAGUUAAUACAUUAUUAUAAGGAUUAAGUAUCAAGUUCAAGAACUCUAGUGUUCUGAUGAUCAAGUUCAGUUUAAGGAUUCAGAGGAAGAAGCACAGUUCUUAGGUUACAAUGCUUGAGAUUCUUUUGAAGCCUCUAAUUUCAUACCAUAGAUUUAUAAUAUUGUAAUUUGUACUUUAAUAUUGU